AACGAACGCUGGCGGCAUGCCUAACACAUGCAAGUCGAACGAGACCUUCGGGUCUAGUGGCGCACGGGUGCGUAACGCGUGGGAACCUGCCCUUAGGUUCGGAAUAACUCCCCGAAAGGGGUGCUAAUACCGGAUAAUGUCUUCGGACCAAAGAUUUAUCGCCUUUGGAUGGGCCCGCGUUGGAUUUGCUAGUUGGUAGGGUAAAAGCCUACCAAGGCGACGAUCCAUAGCUGGUCUGAGAAGAUGAUCAGCCACACUGGGACUGAGACACGGCCCAGACUCCUACGGGAGGCAGCAGUGGGGAAUAUUGGACAAUGGGCGAAAGCCUGAUCCAGCAAUGCCGCGUGAGUGAUGAAGGCCUUAGGGUUGUAAAGCUCUUUUACCCGGGAUGAUAAUGACAGUACCGGGAGAAUAAGCUCCGGCUAACUCCGU
rnacentral:rRNA from 1 species